rnacentral:sRNA from 1 species
CCAAGUGCUAUACGCCAAUCUGGGCCUCGUCCAACUCUUCGCCAUCUGGCUCCAACUGGUAAUGCUCCGGCCUCUCGUGGCCUCCCUACUACCACUCAGAGAGUCGGGUCUGAGUGCCCGGACCGCUUGGCUAUGGACUUUGGUGGGGCUGGUGCCGCCCAGCAAGGGCUGACUGACAGCUGCCAGUCUGGAGGUGGUAUUGGAUGCACACAGAAGGGGGAAAGAUGGGAUUUGACGGGUCUUUGCCCAGACUGAUGGGCUUUAAUUGUAUUUGUUCUUUCCCUAAGGCGUUCCCACAGCUGUGCAGAACUUAGCGCCACGCGCUGCUGUUGCCGCUGCUGCUCCCCGGGCUGUUGCCCCCUACAAGUACGCCUCCAGUGUCCGCAGCCCUCAUCCUGCCAUACAGCCUCUGC